UUGGUGGGGACCACCAUAGCGUAGCCCACACAGGUCCCUCCCAGGCAGCUGGCGAGCUCGUGGAAAAGUCCAUGAAAGAGCGACUCCAGGGGAAGGACCAAUAGAAACAUACUCACAAAGACACUGCUGGACGACUGACAGACAUUUACAAAAGGGUUAUCCAAAGGAAGGAGCAGCCCGCCACGCCCGAGUCUCUUCUGACCGAGGUGGAGAGAAGACGGUGGCAUCCAUCCGUUACCGGCGGCUGAUGGGGAGGUGGUUUGGAAAUGAAGGAGUGGGGCACCUAGAGCCGCCGUCUAGCAUGGCAGCAGACACAGCCUGGCGAGGAGACGGCUUCCCUCCAGGACAUUUACAAGACGUGGAUUUCCCUCACUACACUGAGAUCGAGCUGGAGGAAGUCCACUGGCCCCUCUGGAUCCGAACCAGCCUUCCCUCCUCUUCAGGUCGCGGGGACCUGGAGCCUAUCCCAGCAGUCACUGGGCG